AGGCGAAGGAGCAAUCUGGAGCAAACCCCAAAAAUAACGUCUCAGUUCGGACUGUGGUCUGCAACCCGACCACACGAAGCUGGAAUCGCUAGUAAUCGCGAAUCAGAAUGUCGCGGUGAAUACGUUCCCGGGUCUUGUACACACCGCCCGUCACACCAUGGGAGUCGGUAACACCCAAAGUUGGUAGUCUAACCGCAAGGAGGACGCCGCCUAAGGUGGGAUUGAUGACUGGGGUGAAGUCGUAACAAGGUAUC
rnacentral:rRNA from 1 species